AUCGAACGCUGGCGGCGUGCCUAACACAUGCAAGUCGAACGAGUGGCGGACGGGUGAGUAAUGUCUGGGAAACUGCCUGAUGGAGGGGGAUAACUACUGGAACCGGUAGCUAAUACCGCAUACCAUCGGAUGUGCCCAGAGGGGAUUAGCUAGUAGGUGGGGUAACGGCUCACCUAGGCGACGAUCCCGAGCUGGGCUGGGAGGGUGACCAGCCAAACUGGAAAUGAGACACGGGCCAGACGCCUACGGGAGGCAGCAGUGGGGAAUAUUGCACAAGGGGCGCAAGCCUGAUGCAGCCAUGCCGCGUGUGUGAAGAAGGCUUUCGGGUUGUAAAGUACUUUCAGCGGGGAGGCGUUACGCGCAGAAGAAGCACCGGCUAACUACGUGCCAGCAGCCGCGGUAAUAC
rnacentral:rRNA from 1 species